GCCUGGCACAGCAGCAGACCCUCCCUCCCAGACCCUCCCUCCUCCUGGACAGCAUCCAUUUUGAAGCUGCAUUCUUAGUGAGCUGUCCAGGAGGUGGGAGGGUCUGGGAGGGAGGGUCUGCUGCUGAUUGGCUGG